rnacentral:rRNA from 1 species
AGUAAACGCUGGCGGUAGGCCUAACACAUGCAAGUCGAACGGCAGCACAGUAAGAGCUUGCUCUUACGGGUGGCGAGUGGCGGACGGGUGAGGAAUACAUCGGAAUCUACUUUUUCGUGGGGGAUAACGUAGGGAAACUUACGCUAAUACCGCAUACGACCUACGGGUGAAAGCAGGGGAUCUUCGGACCUUGCGCGAUUGAAUGAGCCGAUGUCGGAUUAGCUAGUUGGCGGGGUAAAGGCCCACCAAGGCGACGAUCCGUAGCUGGUCUGAGAGGAUGAGCAGCCACACUGGAACUGAGACACGGUCCAGACUCCUACGGGAGGCAGCAGUGGGGAAUAUUGGACAAUGGGCGCAAGCCUGAUCCAGCCAUACCGCGUGGGUGAAGAAGGCCUUCGGGUUGUAAAGCCCUUUUGUUGGGAAAGAAAAGCAGCAGGUUAAUACCCCGCUGUUCUGACGGUACCCAAAGAAUAAGCACCGGCUAACUUCGUG